rnacentral:lncRNA from 1 species
UAACAACAUAUAAGGCUCACGUCGUUGCUCUGUGGUAGAGGGCUUGCCUGGCAUUUACAGCACUCAGCCUAUGGUGAACUGCAUUCUCUCACAUCAGCUGUCAAUCAAGAAAAUGCACCACAGGCUUGCCCAUAGGCCAAUCUGGCAGGGGCAUUUUCUCAAUUGAGGUUUCCUCUUCCAAUAUGACUCUAGCUGUGUCAAGUUUCAAAAAAACUAGUCAGUGCACGAGGCUAAGAAGGCACCCAGUGAAGGCAAGCUUUCAAACUUUUUGGCCACCAGAAGGAAGUCUUGACCACUGUCUAGUAUCUUGUCCUGCCCCUCCCCUGCCACCCCCCAUACCCAACCCCACAUGUGAGUGUGUGUGCACAAACGAUCAUAUUAUCAAGUCACAAUCAGAUCUUACCUAGUAUCAAGUUUUACUAAUCAGACCAGUAAGAAGAUUUAGCAGUUAAAAGUACUUGCACCAGAGCCUAAAAACUGGGGCCUUUCUCCAGAUUCCUAGAACAACACACAUGAUAGAAGAGAACUAACUUCUACAAGUUGUCCUCUUACCUACCUACCUACACACACACACACACACACACACACACACACACACACACACACCAGUGAUACUGAGUGAAUGAAUGAGAGCCCUGCU